CAUUGUACAAUCCAUCUGUUAACCUAAGUCAUGUUGGAAGCCUGUAUGUUAACGGGACAUUGCCUUCCACUGCACACUAUACUACAACACAGCUGAUGGUCACCUCGCUUUGAGUCCUAAGGAAACUAUGCAGUAUUUUGUUUUUUCAUGUAUUAAUUCUUACAUUGACACCCCAGAAAAUCGUAAGCAUUAUUACAUACAGCCGGGAAGAACUAUUGGAUAUAAGCGCGACGUCAACUUACCAACAUUACGACCAGGAAUACGACUUUCCCGAAGCGGAUCCUUUGUUCGGACCACCACCCAGGACAUGCGAUCUUAUCCCAGAGGUCGACCCAAAACAACGUUGCCGAAGGAAGAGGCUCCGUAGGCGUGCACAAUGCCCACCGCUUCAGAGUAUACUACUCACCAAUGUUCAGUCUUUUGACAACAAGGUAGAUGAAAUUAGAGCAAGGGUUCCCUUUCAGAGAGACAUCAGAGAUUGUAACAUUCUCUGUUUCACGGAAACAUGUCUUUCUCGGGAUACGUUGUCGGAGUCGAUUCAGCCACCGGGCUUCUUCAUGCAUCGUGCCGACAGAGAUAAAUUACCUCUCUGGGAAGAAGGGUGGUGGUGUAUGCUUCAUGAUUAACGACUUAUGGGGUAAUCAUAACAACAUACAGGAACUCAAGUCCUUCUGCGCACCCGACCUAGAAUUCCUUACAAUCAAAAGCCAAGAGAAUUCUUGUCAGUUAUCGACACAGUUGUGUAUAUACCCCCUCAAGCAGACACCACGGCGGCCCUCAAGGAACUUCACUGGAAUCUAUGUAAACUGGAAACCAUAUAUCCUGAGGCUGCAUUUAUUGUAGCUGGGGAUUUUAACAAAGCACAUCUUAGAACAAGACUACCUAUAUUCUACCAGCAUAUUGAUUGCAGCAGUCGCGCAAACAAUACACUCGAUCACUGCUACUCUAACUUCCGUGAUGCAUACAUGGCCCUCCCUUCGGCAAAUCCGACCACGACUCCAUCUUGAUCCUACCGUCUUAUAGGCAGAAACUCAAACAUGACGUACCGGUCACUAGAACCAUUCAACGCGGGUCUGACCAAUCGGAAUCCACACUUCAAAGUUGUUUUGAUCACGCAGGCUGGGAAAUGUUCCGGGCAGCCUCAGAGAAUAACAUUGAUCUAUACGCUGACUUGGUGAGUGAGUUUAUAAGGAAGUGCAUUAGAGAUGUUGUACCCAAUGUGACAAUUAAAACCUAACCUAACCAGAAACCGUGGAUGGAUGGUGGCAUUCGCGCAAAACUGAAAGUGCGAACCAUUGUUUAACCAUGGUAAGAGGACUGGGAAUAUGGCCGAAAAUAAACAGUGUAGUUAUUCUCUCCGCAAGGCAAUCAAACAAGCGAAAUGUCGGUAUAGGGACAAAGUGGAGUCGCAAUUCAACAGUUUAGACACGAGACAUAUGUGGCAGGGUCUACAGACAAUCACGGACUACAAAAAUAAAACUAGACACGUCACGGACACCGUCUCGCUUCCAAACAAACUAAACACCUUUGCCCGCUUUAAGAAUAAUACAGUGCCACUGUUGUGGCCCGCUAACCAGGGCUGCGGCUUCUCCUUCUCUGUGGCCGACGGGAGUAAGACAUUUUAAACGUGUUAACCCUCACAACGCUGCCAGCCCAGCCGCGUCCUCAGAGCAUGCACAGACCAGCUGGCAGGUGUGUUCACGGAAAUAUUAUAUUGCUCCCUAUCCCAGUCUUCUGUCCCCACAUGCUUCAAGAUGCUUCAAGAUGUCCACCAUUGUUCCUGUUCCCAAGAAGGCAAAGAUAAAUUAACCAAAUGACUACUGCCCCGUAGCACUUACUUCUGUCAUCAUGAAGUGCGUUGAGAUACUAGUCACGGAUCAUAUCACCUCCACCUUACCAUUUUAGAAUAAGGUUUGAUGCAUACUGGUAACAUUUUCAGAUAUUACACUUUUCUAAUUUUGUGGUUUCAUUUCAAGUGUACUGUUAGCUAGCUAACGUUAACCUGCUGAGGCACUAGCUAAAGUGUGAUCUUAUUCUUCGUAUCUCAGACACAUUUGCUUGACUAGUUAUAGCCGUUGAACCUAUUGGUUAGGUACCUGCAGAUUCAUGUAGGGUAGUAAUGUCAUGUUGUUGGUCCAUUGUUUUGCUUGCUAGCUAGCAAAACAAUAUCUUAACAAAACAUGUCUUAACAAAAGACUCCACUCUAAUUUUGACAAAGUAUUUUCAUUUAAAGUUAGUGUACUGUUAGCUAGCUAGCUAAUGUUAGCUGGCUGGCUCGCUAACUAACGUCAUGCGUUGGGAUUGUUUACCUAGCUAGCUAUCAAGCUACAUUUCUUAACAAAAUACCCUUUGAAUAUGUCCGUUGUCAGUUAAUUUGGCAACAAAGCGUAAUUCAAUUGUUGCCAGUCGCACAGGUACAGUCACCAACACUCUGGAUAACAUGAAAAAAGCCUAACCAGCUCUGCUAGGGUGAGUAAAAUAGUCAGAGUGGGGUGUUGUCUCAUUAUGUGUCUGGAAGUAGCAAGCCAAUAUUUGCCAGUUAGCGUGGGUGCUUGACUGUAGUUGUGUGGUCAGAGCCUUCGGAACAACCCUACUUACUUAUUGGCCAGAACGUCCAGUGUGCACUCUGAACUCAAAACCACAGAUGGAACUAUAGGGUGAGUAAUGUUCAGUGAGCUGUUCUCUCUCUCUUAGAUGUCUGGAAGUAGCUGGACAAUUAGUACAGGACGUACGGAUCAGUGUGUGAACAAUGCUGAAUGGGUGUAGACAAAGAAGGGCUCUCCAAUAGUUGUACCAAAACAUUUUCUCAAGUGAGUUUACAAUUUAAUCAACCUUCAAAGCAGAAUUACUUUCCCAUUGUUUCCUCAAAUGCAGUGUAUGAUAUACCAUUUUGUAACUAUGAGUCUCUAAUUUAAUUUAUCCAAUGUAAAUAACAGAAAUUCAAAUGUUGCUACAUAAGACGGAAUCCAGGUGGUGAGUUGUAUUUACUGCGUACAUUGUUAAAGUACCUUUUGCAGCGAUUACAGACUUGAGUCUUCUUGAGUAUGUUGCUACAAGCUUGGCACACCUGUAUUUGGGGCAUUUCUUCCAUUUAUUCUCUGCAGAUCCUCUCAAGGCCUGUCAGGUUGGAUGGGGAGCGUCAUUGCACAGCUAUUUUCAGGUCUCUCCAGAGAUGUUCGAUCGGGUUCAAGUCCGAGCUCUGCCUGGACCACUCAAGGACUUUCAGAGACUGUUAGGAAGUGAACCUUUUCCCCAGGCUGAUGUCCUGAGCGCUCUAGACAAGGUUCUCAUCAAGGAUCUCUAUUUACUGCUCACCUUUCCCUCGAUCCUGACUAGUCUCCCAGUCCCUGCCACUGAAAAACAUCCCCACAGUAUAAUUCUACCACCACCAUGCUUCACCGUAGGGAUGGUAUUAGCCAGGUGAUGAGCGGUGCCUGGUUUCCUCCAGAGUUGACGCUUGCCAUUCAGGCUAAAGAGUUCAAUCUUGGUUUUCAGCAGAACAGAGAAUCUUGUUUCUCUUGGUCUGACAGUCCUUUAGGUGCCUUUUAGCAAACUCCAAGCGGGCUGUCGUGUGCCUUUUUAUUGAGGAGUGGCUUCUGUCUGGCCACUGUACCAUAAAGGUCUGAUUGGUGGAGUGCUGCGGAGAUGGUUGUCCUUCUGGAAGGUUCUCCCAUCUCCACAGAGGAACUCCGGAGCUCUUUCAGAGUGACCAUUGGAUACUUGGUCACCUCCCUGACCAAGGUCCUUCUCCCCCGAUUGUUCGGUUUGGCUGGGCAACCAGCUCUAAGAAAAGUCUUGGUGGUUUCAAUAUUCUUCCAUUUAAGAAUGAUGGAGGCCACUGUGUUCUUGGACUUUCAAUGCUGCAGAAAUGUUUUGGUACCCUUCCCCAGAUCUGUGCCUCGACACAAUCCUGUCUCGGAGCUCUACAGACAAUUCCUUAGACCUCAUGGCUGUGGGACCUUAUAUAGACAGAGAUGGCUGGAUCCAAACAAACCCAUCAGGAAGCAACUUAAACGGGGAUCGCCUCAUAAUCUGAGCUUCAGAGUGAAGUUCUUUGUGACCGACCCUAAUAAACUUCAGGAAGAGUACACUAGGUACCAGUAUUUCCUCCAGCUCAAACAGGACAUCCUGACUGGAAGACUGCCCUGUCCGCACAACACUGCCGCACUCCUGGCGUCCUAUGCUGUUCAAUCUGAGUUGGGAGACUACAGUGAAUCGGAGCAUGCUCCUGGCUACCUCUCAGAGUUCUGCUUUAUCCCCAACCCACCACAAGGGUUCCACAAGGAGGUCACCAAACACCACCAACAGCACAGUGGUCUGUCUUCUGCCCAGUCAGAGUUUAAUUACCUGAACACAGCACGGACGCUGGAGCUGUACGGAGUGGAGUUGCACUAUGCAAGGGAUCAACGCAACACUGAGAUUUUAAUUGGGGUGAUGUCAGCAGGGAUCGUGGUUUACAAGAACAGGGUACGAAUCAACUGCUUUCCCUGGUUGAAGAUUGUGAAAAUAUUGUUCAAGUGCAAACAGUUCUUCGUUCAGCUCAGGAGAGAAGUGAAUGAGACGAGGGAGACCUUGUUGGGGUUUAACAUGGUGAGCUACAGAGCCUGUAAGAACCUAUGGAAGACCUGUGUAGAGCAUCACACCUUCUUCCGUCUGGACCGGCCCGUUCCCCCUCAGAAGAACUUCUUUGCCCACUAUUUUACCCUGGGCUCCAAGUUUCGUUACUGCGGGAGGACCGAGGUGCAGUCGGUGCAGUAUGGCAAAGAGAAGGGGAUCAAGAACAGGGUGUUUGCCAGGUCUCCCAGUAAGCCCAUGGCCAGGAAGUUGAUGUGCGGGACAGACUGGGAGGCGGUGAGCAGGAACAGCCUAUCAGACGAGAGGCUGGAGACCCAGAGCCUGCCUACACGCUCCCCACCCGGUACCCCUAACCACCGGAACUCGUUGUUCGUACAGGAGGGGACGCGGAUGCGCCCGUUGUCGGUUGGGCACCUGGUGGACCACAUGAUCCACGCCUCGCCUAGUCUCCCCGUCUUCUCCAAUCACAAAUCAGCGUCCUCCACCCAGGCCAACUCUAUCAGUCUGGACUCCAGCCCCUCCCCAGAGACAGUAGAUGGUCGGCCCCCGGCCCUGCCUCCAAAACAGUCCAGGAAGAACCUGAGCCAGAUCAUCCAGGCCCACUCCCAGCAGAGUCUCCUUGACAACCACAUCAACGAGAUGUACGAUGUCCCCAUGGCAACCGACAAGACCACGUUGAACGGUGUUGUCCCUCACGACAAUCUGGUCCUGGUCAAGAUGAGGCCAGAUGACAACAGACGAUUUGGCUUCAACGUCAAGGGUGGAGCUGAUCAGAAGGUGCCCGUCAUCGUGUCUCGUGUGGCCCCUGGGACAUCGGCUGACCUGUGUGUCCCUCGCCUGAACGAAGGUGACCAGGUGGUUCUGAUCAACGGUCGAGACAUCUCGGAGCACACUCACGACCAGGUGGUCAUGUUCAUCAAGGCCAGCUGUGAGAGCCACUCAGGAGAGCUCAUCUUAUUGGUCAGGCCCAAUGCCAUCUAUGACAUGGUGGAGGAGAAGCAGGAGACUGAGCCAGACUUCCAGUACAUCCCAGAGAAAUGUCCCCAGGAUCCCAGUCAGCUGGACCAGGAUGCCUGGAGGGACUCCAUGAACACUCUGAAGGAGGGUCUGGUCAGCGGGGAAGUACUAGCCCAGUUUGAUCAACUCUACCGGAAAAGUCCUGGAAUGACAAUGUUGUGUGCCAAAUUACCUCAAAACAUUUCCAAAAACCGCUACAGAGACAUCUCACCCUAUGACGCCACACGGGUCAUUCUGAAAAGCACAGAUGACUACAUCAAUGCAAAUUACAUCAACAUGGAGAUCCCAGCAUCCAGCCUGAUCAACCGGUACAUUGCGUGCCAGGGCCCGCUGCCCAACACGUGCCCAGACUUCUGGCAGAUGACCUGGGAGCAGAGCUCCUCCAUGGUGGUCAUGCUCACCACCCAGGUGGAGAGGGGACGGGUGAAGUGUCAUCAGUACUGGCCCAACCCUGACAGCACUGCCUCGUACGGCCGCUUCCAGCUGGCCUGUCUCACCGAGGAGGGUAAUUCUGCCUUCCUGGUCCGAGACAUGACCCUGACACACCUCGAGAGCGAGGAGGUCCGGGAGUUGACCCAGAUCCAGUACGUGGCCUGGCCGGACCAUGGCGUCCCAGAUGACUCCAUGGACUUCCUGGACUUUGUCAGCCUGGUGCGAAGCAAACGAGCCGGCAAGGAUGAGCCCAUGGUGGUCCACUGCAGUGCAGGGAUUGGCCGAACGGGAGUUCUCAUCACCAUGGAGACAGCGUUGUGCCUGAUGGAGUGCAGUCAGCCCAUCUAUCCAUUAGACAUAGUCAGAACCAUGAGGGACCAGAGAGCCAUGAUGAUUCAGACACCUAGCCAGUACAAGUUUGUGUGUGAAGCCAUCUUGAGGGUCUAUGAGGAAGGCCUGGUCAAACCCCUGAAGCCCACCCUUUACCAGAGAGAAGAAGAACGAGAGGAAGAAGAAAAUGGAGGAGAAGCAGCAGUAGGAGAGGAGGAGGAAGAAGAGGAUGAAGAGGAUGUUAGCGUUAGUGUUAGCGCUAGUGUGACCAGUGUGACGAGUGAGACUAGCGCAACCAGCGAUUGCCCUGAACCCUGACCCCUUUGACCUGACCUGGGUCAGCCCAGCGCCAGGGAGGUGGAGCCCUGGUUGCCAUGCUUACCGCUAUGGGCCGAGGAGAGAACAAAGCACUGUUGCACUUUACGCCGUCAAAAAAAAAAAACUGAAAGUCAUGGACAAAUGAAUCCAGUUAUGUUGAAUAGGUACCGUUAGGGGUAUUGUGUGUUCAGGGUUAAUUAAAAAAAAGACAUUUGAAACAUGGUGAAAUUGCUGUAGUAGUGCCGUAAGUACAAUGACUGGGCGGGGUUGUGAGAGAGGGAGUGUUUUUAAGAGUGAUCGAUAAGCCCUUCCAAAUGAAUCUGCCGCCUUUUCUUCUCUGUCCCUCCGAUCCAACGAGAGACGCCAUAUUUUUUUCAAAUAAUAUUUAUUGUAUUUUAAUUUGUCAAACCCUGUCCAUUGAACAAAGUGUAUGUUAGAGUGAGUCUUAGCUUCAGGCAUCCCAAAUGAAAUCAUAGGUAGUAAAAGUUGUCAUUCUUUACUUUUUUAGUGAAAAAAGUGAUUUAAUUUAUUAUAUAUUUGAGCUUUUGACAAAUUCAGACACUACACAUCAGAGCACUUUGUGUCUACCCCUAGCUAACCUUGUGGCUGAUGUGGCCUUGGUUUUUGCAUAGAACAAACAAGGAGUCAUUGACGGGCAUUGAUUGGCAUGUUAAACUGUCUAGUUGGUCAAUUUGUAGAGCUGUUUACUGUGUCAAGACAGGGGGACAAUCUACUCUAAGCAAUUUGACAAAGUCCACAGCCACUAAGGGGAGGCUCGACCUUAAAACAAUCUUUUAAGUUACGUUCCUCUCUGUCUUUGUUCGUGUGUCUGUCUCUAAAGAAUGUAGAGAAUACCAAGAGCAUUCAACCAAUAAUGAUUAGAAACCCCACUUCCCCCCUUUUGAUAUAUUUCAAAUGGUAGUUAGAGUUUUUAAAACACAUUAUUGUUUAUUGGAGAUGAUAAUCACUUAGAAUGUUUUAGGUACAGAUUACUGGGAAUUUGUUGUACUUGUACCCAACACAGUUAUGACAUGUUUCACUUAAACACCCCGCAACAAGAGGUGUCCUUCUUUUCACACUGGUUCAACUGUGUUCACAUUGUCAUCAGCUCUUGUAUUGGAGUUAUCAGCAUGUUUAGUUUGAGCUACUCUUCUUCUCAUGAAAGAGUCUUUCUUGCUUUGUUUGCUUACCUGGCUGCUGGCAUCUUGGCACUGCAGGUAGUGCCACCCUCUCCGAUGCGCGAUGUGAGAGAGUGCAGCCCGCAUGUGUAUUUUUAGUGUGUGUGUGUGGGGGGGGGGUGUAUGGGUGAGAGAGUGCAGCACGCAUGUGUAUUUUUAGCAGUUUCUGUUGUGUGUAUGUAUUAUGCCCUGCCUCUGGUGAUGCUGUGUCUGUGUAACCAUCAGCGAACCCCCUACCAUUUCACCUUAAGCUGGUCGUCAUUUCUCGCUCAAUAUUGGAUACCAGGAUUGAAGCCUGCUUUCUUGUAAACUAAUUUGCCAUAGUUCCAUCUUCUUGACCUGCUGAGUAGACUGUGAUGCAUCUAUAGCAGGUGCAUUGGACGUGAGUACAUUGUGACCAACGUGUCCACGCUGUCAGAAGCCCGUACAGUAAAUUCUCUCUCACGGGCCGCUACGGUGGGUCAUCAGCCCGCUGUGUGGAAUCCACAAAACCCUCAUUUGAUUAUUAUUUUUUCAUACAUGGAGCUCACUCACUCUUUUGCCUGAGAGUAUUAUGAUGGCGCAUCAAAAAGACCACACUACAGAAUUCCACAUACAAGACUUGGGUUUCCAGAAUCAUCAAAUGUUAAUUAUCAUGAAUGUCCAGCAUUGAGAUGUGUGUUGUGAUAGCGUAUCCAGGGUACUGUGGGGUUCUGUUUGGAAGCAAGAGGGAAGGGAAGUGGGGUAGGUAUUGGAGGGUGGAUGAGUUGUAUUUUUGUAAAACUGAAACCACAGUUCUUGCUUCUUAAGAAUGGACAGCACUUUGCAGAUGACUGGGUAGCCAUGCUCGCUACUGAGUAUGUCAGAAACAGAAAGUGGUGUAGAAUUUUUAUUUAUCAUUGAAUUUGUUUUUUAAGACACCUGUAGGGAACAAAAACUCCAAACUACACAGUGCCACUUGUUAAUGUUGUGUAAAUAUACUAGACCAUGUAAAUACAAUGUUGUGUGUGUGUGUAUAAAAAAAAAUCUUUAAAAUAAAAGGGAAAAUGAUUUGUGA